AGAUAGAUACUUUCCCUUCGGAGGAAGUAGAGAUGACRRGUGGWGCAUGGUUGUCGWCMKSUGRUGGUGUKRGAUGUUGKGUUAAGUCCCGCAACGAGCGCAACCCUUAUCUUUAGUUGCCAGCAUUUAGUUGGGCACUCUAAARAGACUGCCGGUGACAAACCGGAGGAAGGKGGGGAUGACCUCAAAUCAUCCUGCCCCUUAUGUCUUGGGCUACACACGUGCUACAAUGGGUGAUACAAAGGGCUGCAAGCCCGCGAGGGUAAGCCAAUCCCAAAAAGCCACUCUCAGUUCGGAUUGUAGGCUGCAACUCGCCUACAUGAAGUCGGAAUCGCUAGUAAUCGCAGAUCAGCAUGCUGCGGUGAAUA
rnacentral:rRNA from 1 species